UACGUAGGGUGCAAGCGUUAAUCGGAAUUACUGGGCGUAAAGCGUGCGCAGGCGGUUUUUUAAGUCUGACGUGAAAUCCCCGGGCUUAACCUGGGAAUUGCGUUGGAGACUGCAAGGCUGGAGUCUGGCAGAGGGGGGUAGAAUUCCACGUGUAGCAGUGAAAUGCGUAGAGAUGUGGAGGAACACCGAUGGCGAAGGCAGCCCCCUGGGUCAAGACUGACGCUCAUGCACGAAAGCGUGGGGAGCAAACAGG
rnacentral:rRNA from 1 species